CGUGUAGGCGGAUGGGAACGUCGGAUACUGAAAGCCCCCGGCUCAACCGGGGAAGUGGUGCCGAAACGACCUGUCUGGAGGGACGUAGGGGGAUCUGGAACUUCCGGUGGAGCGGUGAAAUGCGUUGAGAUCGGAAGGAACGCCCGUGGCGAAAGCGAGGUCCUGGACGUCUGCUGACGCUGAGACGCGAAAGCUAGGGGAGCAAACGGGAUUAGAUACCCCGGUAGUCCUAGCUGUAAACGAUGGGCACUGGGUAGGGGGCUCGCCGAUGGGCUCUCUGCCGUAGCGAAAGCGUGAAGUGCCCCGCCUGGGGAGUAUGGUCGCAAGGCUGAA
rnacentral:rRNA from 1 species